UGAAGCUCGGGUUAGGGUGAUGGCCAGGGUAAAGGUUGAACUGGGAUGUGGACAUGAAGCUCGGGUUAGGGUGAUGGCCAGGGUAAAGGUUGAACCGGGAUGUGGACAUGAAGCUCGGGUUAGGGCCAGGGUAAAGGUUGAACUGGGAUGUGGACAUGAAGCUCGGGUUAGGGUGAUGGCCAGGGUAAAGGUUGAACCGGGAUGUGGACAUGAAGCUCGGGUUAGGGUGAUAGGGAUCAAAAUGAAUAUUAUUACAUUUAUUUUCAAUUCUAUUUCCCAUCGACCCUUCUCUGUAAC